GACGAACGCUGGCGGCGUGCUUAACACAUGCAAGUCGAACGGAAAGGCCCUGCUUUUGUGGGGUGCUCGAGUGGCGAACGGGUGAGUAACACGUGAGUAACCUGCCCUUGACUUUGGGAUAACUUCAGGAAACUGGGGCUAAUACCGGAUAGGAGCUCCUGCUGCAUGGUUGGGGUUGGAAAGUUUCGGCGGUUGGGGAUGGACUCGCGGCUUAUCAGCUUGUUGGUGGGGUAGUGGCUUACCAAGGCUUUGACGGGUAGCCGGCCUGAGAGGGUGACCGGCAACAUUGGGACUGAGAUACGGCCAAGACUCCUACGGGAGGCAGCAGUGGGGAAUAUUGAACAAUGGGCGGAAGCCUGAUGCAGCAACGCCGCGUGCGGGAUGACGGCCUUCGGGUUGUAAACCGCUUUCGCCUGUGACGAAGCGUGAGUGACGGUAAUGGGUAAAGAAGCACCGGCUAACUACGUG
rnacentral:rRNA from 1 species